UUAUUAGCAUAGUUAGUCAAAAUGUAAAUUUAUCAAUAAAAAAACAUCACAUGUCAUAUUAUUUGAUUUUUUAAAUUAAUAACAUAUAAAUGAAAAAUAUUUUUAAAAUAAAAAAUAUAGGAAAUGAAAAAAAUAUAAAAGAAAUCUAUUUUGUGUUAUUUUUUUGAAAAAAGAAAUCAAAAACUUUUUCCUUCAAAAGUUUAUUUUUUAAAUUAAAAAUAAAAAUUUUGGAAAAUUAAAAAGUUGAAAAAGAAAGAAAAGGAGUCAAGGAGAGAAAAGAAAAAGAAUGGAAAAGGAAGGGGCGGGGAAGUCGGAGUCGGAGUAGAUCUUACCGGCCUAGGCCCAAGGUAGAUCGGCUCGAUUAGUAUCUUGCCAGCGGAACCUCCUCCUUCUCGUCUCCUUUCACCUUUCAUUUCUCUCCUAACUACUGUUUUUAAUUUUAAAACAUUUUUAAUUUUAUUUUAAGUUUUUUAUUUUUUAAACAAUAAAAAAGAACUAAAAACUUAAAGGCGUGUCAGGAUUUUAUUAAUUACUUUUAGGUUACAUAAGCUAAAUGUUAACGGUGUUAAUAAGAUAAAAUUAAAAUUUGAAUGCCUAAUUAUAAAUUUUUAUUCAUUAGAUAUUAAAUCGUAAAA
rnacentral:lncRNA from 1 species